AUACGGAGGAUCCGAGCGUUAUCCGGAUUUAUUGGGUUUAAAGGGUGCGCAGGCGGGAGAUUAAGUCGGCGGUGAAAUUUUUCAGCUCCACUGGAAAAGUGCCUUCGAAACUGGUUUCCUUGAGUGUAGAUGAAGUAGGCGGAAUUUGUGGUGUUGCGGUGGAAUGCAUAGAUAUCACGAGGAACUCCGAUUGCGCAGGCAGCUUACUAAACUACUACUGACGCUCAGGCACGAAGGCGUGGGGAUCAAACAGGAUUAGAUACCCUGGUAGUCCACGCAGUAAACGAUGAUUACUAGCUGUUUGCGAUACAAUGUAAGCGGCUGAGCGAAAGCGUUAAGUAAUCCACCUGGGGAGUACGUUCGCAAGAAUGAAACUCAAAUGAAUUGACGGGG
rnacentral:rRNA from 1 species